AGUUCGGAUCGCAGGCUGCAACUCGCCUGCGUGAAGUUGGAAUUGCUAGUAAUCGCGGAUCAGCAUGCCGCGGUGAAUACGUUCCCGGGCCUUGUACACACCGCCCGUCAAGCCAUGGGAGCCGGGGGUGCCUGAAGUUCGUUACCGUAAGGAUCGACCUAGGGCAAAACUGGUGACUGGGGCUAAGUCGUAACAAGGUAUC
rnacentral:rRNA from 1 species